UUUCUAUAUAAUGAGUUGCUUUCAGUCUGCUGCAAGUCCUCAGGAUCGUACGACAUUAGCAUCAGCGGUGACGUUGCUUGCUCUCUUGUGCAGGGUAAGCGUGCAUGAAACGGAGCCUGGCACUGACGAAAGAACGACCCCCUGGUGAAAGUGAUGCUCUCCAACUCGAGUGGGCUUCUUCUUCAUGCAUGACUUCUCUUAGAGGGAAUGCUCCUCUUGUCCUACGGAUGCUGAAGCCAUGCAGACGUAGCCACCCAUCAUUGUCUCGUUCAUACGCUCAGAUAGAGUAUAUUGAUGCAACUGAGUAUAAAGCAGCAGCUUCGUGGCAGCACACAAAGCGUGAGAGGUUUCGCAGGCGACGACGACUCAUGCAACAGAGAGCAUCAUAAGAUUUCCAUGGAGCCAGCCAUUUAUUCCCUCUGACGCAGUCUGCCUUCUUCUCCGGCAUGCGGUGAUGAAUAGCGCAUGCAUGGCACAGCAGAUGCCCAAGCGUCAGAGGUCUUACAUCCCUUCACUGCAAGCUGUUCUAAGUAAAAGUUCUGCACCGCACUGCACGAUGGGGUGAAAAGAAGUACACAAGAAGAAGGAUGGGAGGAGGUCUUCUCUUCUUGUUUCCUUCACCGCAUGGCCAUAUGACGGGGUUCCUUCCACCGGAGAAGGACGUCGCGGGCGAUGUUGAGAGCGUCAUGGGAGGCCCCGAGGAGGCCUCGCCGGGUGAAG